rnacentral:sRNA from 1 species
GAGAGAAGAGGAGAGAAGAGGAAAAGAGGCCAGCCAUGGCUGAGGCUACAGGGAGAGGUGGCAGCCAGUCCUACAGAGCCUCACAGGUCAGGCUUCGGUUCAAACUUCGAGCAGCUUUCACAACGCAGAAAAAUCGCUCCUGAUGUAGGUGAUCACUAUCUGUGUUUGUCCAACAAGCACUAUGUCCACCAAAAAUAUUUUGAGGACAAUAGCUUACCAAGACUGAUCAAGGAAGCAAAGUUUAAAAUAAAAAGAUAAAUAGUUCUUCAAGCACCUAGAUAAAAUGACAACUAAAAGUCGAUUCCUCCUCCGUGUCUUCCUUUCUCUCGUUUCCUCUUUAACUCUUCUUGUUUCCCUGUCUCUCUUUCCCUCCAGUACGGGAGGCAUCAGAGUCCAUCUGUGCUGGGGGACCUAGGGAGCCCUGCUGGGAGCAGGAAGGGUGCUGAGGCUGAGAAGGACAGCCAGGCAGGAAGGAGCACAGUCCAGGGAGGAGGAGGACUUGCAGAUGGAGAGAUGUGUUGGGGGAAGUUUGAAGAUUUAUCAGACCGCAAAUAAUUAAAUUGGUCGAAUACAUAAAUAAAGGCAUUGUUGAUAAUGAGCGCCAAGUUUCACUGUGAUGGAGAAUGUACCCGUAAACGUGUCCAGUCAGAAGUCCUGACUAAUCCUAAAGCAUUAGAUUAGACUCUAAUAGAAUCGGUGUGAAUUACAGAUCCAGCGGGUAUGUCUUUCUUACAUUGUCUUGUUGUCCUUUGUUUUUUGAGACAGGCUGGCCUAGAACUCAUGAAGGAUUCCAGGCUGACUUCAAACUCACUCUAACUCUAAUCCUCCUGCUCUAACCUUUCAAGCGAGUGCUAAGAUGAUAGAUAGGUGUGAGCUUUUUCUUUUCCCUCCCCCAUUCUUUCUUGUUUCUUUUCUUCUCUCUUUGGUCUUUUCCUUUCUUCCUUGCCCUCAUUAAUGAGUCAUCUAGUGGCCAAAACCAAAUGGGACUCCAUUAGUCAUAAGAGCAUAAUUCACCCCAAACCUGUCUUCCACUUACUGCCAACUAAUGAAACCAUACACUGAGCUGGAGGGCUGCUUUGGUGGUUAAGAACACAACACUGGCUGCUCUUCCAGAGGAUCCGGGUUUGACUCCCAGCAUCCACAUGACAGCUCAUAAGGGGCUGUGCCUCCAUCCUUUUCUAGCCUCUGAGACACACAGACAUACAGUCAGAACACCCAUAUACAUAAUGUUUUUAAGUUCACAAUGAGGAAGAACAGGAAAUCAUGAACAGCGAGGCGUGAAUGAAAAAAUGUUCCUUACUGAGGGACCUGCAUCCUUUGAGAAACACUUUCAAGCCAUAAAACUUGCAUUUACUGAUGACUUAAACUAACAUACACUUAUUACCGUCUUACUGUGUUUGAGGUUCUGUGUUCUUGCCUGGCACAAAGGCCUGUGAUGAACUGUGUUGAUUCUGUCCUUGGGAGGAAAACACAGCACAGUGAGUGUCCCUAUCCCUUCUCUCUCCUCCCUCUUACUUCCCUCCAAGUGCCCAUGGCCAACCUCCUUUCCUCCCUUCUUCUACUCUUCUUCUCUCAUUAAGCCUCUCUACGUGGAACCAUGUUAGCUUGGUGUGCUUUGUCCCGGUGUGGGCUGAGAUUUUAAACCCUAACAGUGGGGGCCCAUAUGAAGAGAUUGAUCUCCCCGUGCCUACAUGGCCUGGCACCCUGCCACUGCUGACCUCGGGGCAGAAGAUAGGCCUUUUCCACCGCAUACCUCCACCACCUGUCAAGGCUCGAGCAUGCACCACCCAAGAUCGCUGCAGCACGUCCCGCCAUUGAGUUCCACUCUUACAUUCACUGCUGCUUCUGUGUGCACCACCCCAAUUCGAUUGCAGCUGCUGCCUCUGCUAUGCCAUCUACACAUCCGACCACCACCACCACCACCUGCUGGCUUCCACCACAUGAGUUGCUGCUUCAGCUGGCCCACAUGCAGACUUCUGCAUGAGCCGCUGCCCUCUGCGGUUCACCACGUGGUGCCAGCUCUUGCUGCUUAGACAGGCCCGCCCCAACCACACGGUUCCUCUUUUCCUGCUACCAGACUGCAGCUACAGUCUCUUCACAAACACCGGCUGAUUGGUAGGUAUAUUCCGGUUGGCAAGGAGGACCCUGAUUUCCCAGAUAAAGUCUGGCCAGCUUUUCUGAGAUUACGGGAAUUUUCUUGAUCAUUGAGUGGAGUUUCCCUCAAAAGUGGUUCCUCGCUCCCCUCCUGCUCUGGGCUCUCACAGCCAACAACAAAAAAAAAAAUCCCAGGCCUGGGUAGGAACGCUUUCUUGUGUGUCUGGGACCCAUCGUUUAUAGCUGCCAGGAGUCUAAUCCACGACUCAAACACCAGGCGUGGCAGAGUAUUACCAUUACCAUUAAUUUCUCCUGGGACGCUGGUGAGAUUUAAUUGGUGACUUCCUCCAAUGGGAAAUUCGAGGUCUUCGACCGUACCCCCAAAUUCACCGUCAGGAUGUCUUUUAGAGAAUUUCAAAACUUCAAAAUUAACACCUCACCUGAGGACAUCAAAAUUGAUACACCUAUGCAGUAUUCAUUAGAUAAUGUUCAAAAUGGCCGCAUAAUGGCACUCCUUUUUCACUGAAUGAACUUUCUCAAAUAGAAAGCAGACUGGGUUCCUAUACCUCUAAUUCAUUCACUGUUAUUAAAGAGUUCCAGUACAUUACCCAAUCUUACAGCUUGACCUUUCAUGAUGUGCAUAUGGUCCUUACUAAUAAUUUACUUCCUGAGGAACACCGGCAAGUUUGGGAGCAGGACAGUCUUAAAACCAGUGAAUUUUGAAAAAACUACAAGAGGUCAUCCAGGAAGAAACAGGAAAACCCACCCCAAUCUUUAGAACGCCUUACAAAGGCUUUAUUGCAAUACACUAAUCUAGACCUGGAAAACCCAGAAGGUAAACAACUUCUGAUGAACUAUUUCUUUUCCCAAAGGGACAAACUUAAAAAGCUGGAGAGGGGGUCCCUAACCCCGCAGGCAGAAAUUUUGGCGCUGACCUUCAAGGUGUACCAUGGGAGAGAUGGGAAGGCUUGCAGACAAAAGCACCUUAUGCUGGUAACGGCUGUCUGACCAGCCUCAGCCACUCCCUGGAACUCCUGGUCUUCUAAGGCUAAGAGACCACCAGGCUCCU